rnacentral:rRNA from 1 species
GACGAACGCUGGCGGCGUGCUUAACACAUGCAAGUCGAACGGAAAGGCCCUGCUUUUGUGGGGUGCUCGAGUGGCGAAGGGGUGUGUAACACGUGAGUAUCCUGCCCUUGACUUUGGGAUAACUUCAGGAAACUGCGGCUCAUACCGGAUAGGAGCUCCUGCUGCAUGGUGGUGGUUGGAAAGUUUCGGCGGUUGUGGAUGGACUCGCGGCUUAUCAGCUUGUUUGUGGGGUAGUUGCUUACCAAGGCUUUGACGGGUAGCCGGCCUGAGAGGGGGACCGGCGACAUGGGGACUGAGAGACGGACCAGACUCCUACGGGAGGCAGCAGUGGGGAAUAUUGCACAAUGGGGGGAAGCCUGAUACAGCAACCCUGCGAGCGGGAUGACGGCCUUCGGGUGGUAAACCGCUGUCGCCUGAGACGAAGCGGGAGUGACGGUAACGGGUAAAGAAGCACCGGCUAACUACGUG